rnacentral:rRNA from 1 species
UACGAACUGUGCGAACGUUAUUCGGAAUCACUGGGCUUAAAGGGUGCGUAGGCGGCUUCCUAAGUCAGGUGUGAAAGCCCCCGGCUCAACCGGGGAAUGGCGCUUGAGACUGGGUGGCUUGAGUGAGGCAGGGGUGUGUGGAACUUCCAGUGGAGCGGUGAAAUGUGUUGAUAUUGGAAGGAACGCCGGCAGCGAAAGCGGCACACUGGGCCUUUUCUGACGCUGAGGCACGAAAGCCAGGGGAGCGAAC